GUCUACGGCCAUGCUACCCUGAACUAGCCUGAUCCCGUCUGAUCUCAGAAGCUCAGCAGGGUGGGGCCUGGUCAGUGCUUAGAUGGGAGACCACCUAGGAAGACUAGGUGCUGUAGGCA
rfam:Pteropus alecto contig65536, whole genome shotgun sequence.